rnacentral:rRNA from 4 species
AGACCCGAAACCCGGUGAUCUAGCCAUGGGCAGGUUGAAGGUUGGGUAACACUAACUGGAGGACCGAACCGACUAAUGUUGAAAAAUUAGCGGAUGACCUGUGGCUGGGGGUGAAAGGCCAAUCAAACCGGGAGAUAGCUGGUUCUCCCCGAAAGCUAUUUAGGUAGCGCCUCGUGAAUUCAUCUCCGGGGGUAGAGCACUGUUUCGGCUAGGGGGCCAUCCCGGCUUACCAACCCGAUGCAAACUGCGAAUACCGGAGAAUGUUAUCACGGGAGACACACGGCGGGUGCUAACGUCCGUCGUGAAGAGGGAAACAACCCAGACCGCCAGCUAAGGUCCCAAAGUCAUGGUUAAGUGGGAAACGAUGUGGGAAGGCCCAGACAGCCAGGAUGUUGGCUUAGAAGCAGCCAUCAUUUAAAGAAAGCGUAAUAGCUCACUGGUCGAGUCGGCCUGCGCGGAAGAUGUAACGGGGCUAAACCAUGCACCGAAGCUGCGGCAGCGACACUCAGGUGUUGUUGGGUAGGGGAGCGUUCUGUAAGCCUGCGAAGGUGGCCUGUGAGGGUUGCUGGAGGUAUCAGAAGUGCGAAUGCUGACAUAAGUAACGAUAAAGCGGGUG